GCUGUCGCUAAAGGAUGGACCUGCGAUGCAUUAGCUAGUUGGUAAGGGUAACAGGCUUACCAAGGCGAUGAUGCAUAGCCCGAGUUGAGAGACUGAUCGGCCACAUUGGGACUGAGACACGGCCCAAACUCCUACGGGAGGCAGCAGUAGGGGAAUCUUCCACAAUGGACGAAAAGUCUGAUGGAGCAAAACGCCGCGUGAGUGAAGAAGGUUUUCGGAUCGUAAAAGCUCUGUUGUUGGUGAAGAAGGAUAGAGGUAGUAACUGGCCUUUAUUUGACGGUAAUCAACCAGAAAGUCACGGGCUAACUACGUGCCAGUAGCCGCGGUAAAU
rnacentral:rRNA from 1 species